CACGCNGUAAACGAUGAGUGCUAGGUGUUAGGCCCUUUCCGGGGCUUAGUGCCGGAGCUAACGCAAUAAGCACUCCGCCUGGGGAGUACGACCGCAAGGUUGAAACUCAAAGGAAUUGACGGGGGCCCGCACAAGCGGUGGAGCAUGUGGUUUAAUUCGAAGCAACGCGAAGAACCUUACCAGGUCUUGACAUCCCGAUGCUAUUCUUAGAGAUAGGAAGUUACUUCGGUACAUCGGAGGCAGGUGGUGCAUGGUUGUCGUCAGCUCGUGUCGUGAGAUGCUGGGUNNNNNNNNNNNNNCGAGCGCAACCCUUAUUGUUAGUUGCCAUCAUUAAGUUGGGCACUCUAGCGAGACUGCCGGUAAUAAACCGGAGGAAGGUGGGGAUGACGUCAAAUCAUCAUGCCCCUUAUGACCUGGGCUACACACGUGCUACAAUGGUCGGUACAACGAGUUGCGAGCCGGUGACGGCAAGCUAAUCUCUGAAAGCCGAUCUCAGUUCGGAUUGGAGGCUGCAACUCGCCUCCAUGAAGUCGGAAUCGCUAGUAAUCGCGGAUCAGCACGCCGCGGUGAAUACGUUCCCGGGCCU
rnacentral:rRNA from 1 species